rnacentral:rRNA from 1 species
UACGGAGGGUGCAAGCGUUAAUCGGAAUUACUGGGCGUAAAGCGUGCGCAGGCGGUUUGUUAAGUCCGCUGUGAAAUCCCCGAGCUCAACUUGGGAAUUGCAGUGGAUACUGGCAAGCUGGAGUAUGGUAGAGGAAGGUGGAAUUCCCGGUGUAGCAGUGAAAUGCGUAGAGAUCGGGAGGAACAUCCAUGGCGAAGGCAGCUACCUGGACCAACACUGACACUGAGGCACGAAAGCGUGGGGAGCAAACAGG